rnacentral:rRNA from 1 species
CGAGAGGCGCCAGGGCUGUCGCUGACCUCUGUCAUGAGGUCGUGCACGCCCGAGGCGUCCUCGCACAAUCCAUCCCACACACCCCCCUUUGUGCAUCACCGCGUGGGCUCCUUUGGGUCGCUUCGAUCCAAGCGGGGCUUGCGCUUUUUUACACAGACGUGCAGUGUAGAAUGUCCUAGCGAUUGUACGCAAUCAAUACAACUUUCAACAACGGAUCUCUUGGCUCUCGCAUCGAUGAAGAACGCAGCGAAAUGCGAUACGUAAUGUGAAUUGCAGAAUUCAGUGAAUCAUCGAAUCUUUGAACGCACCUUGCGCCCCUUGGCAUUCCGAGGGGCACACCCGUUUGAGUGUCGUGAAUUCCUCAACCUUCUGCUUUUCUUGAUAGCAGAAGGCUUGGACUUUGGAGGUUCUUGCUGGCCCCUCUCUUCAGAGGCCAGCUCCUCUUAAAUGGAUUAGCAGGGUCUGCCUUUGGGCCGAUCCUCGACGUGAUAAGCUGUUUCUACGUCUUGGAUUUGGCUCCGCCUCUCUUUUGAGAGA